GCGAGUUGGAUAGCUCACUUCGGGAUUCAGUUGUUAGGUCAACAGAUGAUGUAAAUGAUUGUCGAAUUCUGAGGAAAGUCCGCACAUCGUAAAGUCCAUAUGUGAAAGCAUACUGCUGUGAGGUAGGGCUCUGGUAUAGAAACGAUACCCUUCGGGGAUGGAACGAGCACCCUGGACGAUGCAAGGCUUCGUGCCGCUUAGUUGAAUGUGAGCACCUUUCUUCUGGAAACAGGAAAGGACAGAAUGUGGCUUAUUUCUGACUCGC
rnacentral:RNase_P_RNA from 1 species